GCCUUGGUAGCUCAGUGGAUAGAGCGACCCCCUCCUAAGGGGUAGGUCGCAAGUUCGAUUCUUGCCCAGGGCACCA
rnacentral:tRNA from 1 species